UGCGUAACACGUAUACAAUCUGCCUUUAACAGGGGGAUAGCCCGGAGAAAUCCGGAUUAAUACCCCAUAAUACAUGAAAUAGCAUUAUUUUAUGUUAAAAGCUCCGGCGGUUAGAGAUGAGUAUGCGUCUGAUUAGCUAGUUGGUGAGGUAACGGCUCACCAAGGCGACGAUCAGUAGGGGAUCUGAGAGGAUUAACCCCCACACGGAUACUGAGACACGGAUCCG
rnacentral:rRNA from 1 species